rnacentral:tRNA from 1 species
AGCUAUCGUAGCAUCAGAUUUUGCAAAAAUUUGAGUGAGUUUAUACUCCCCUCCUUAGUUG